rnacentral:tRNA from 1 species
GUUGUGGCUUAGUGGUGGAGUGCUUGCCUAGCAUGUGGGAGGCACUGGGUUCAAUCCUCAGCCAAAAAUA